AUUGAACGCUGGCGGCAUGCCUUACACAUGCAAGUCGAACGGUAACGGGCCUUCGGGUGCCGACGAGUGGCGAACGGGUGAGUAAUGUAUCGGAACGUACCUUUCAGUGGGGGAUAACGUAGCGAAAGUUACGCUAAUACCGCAUAUUCUGUGAGCAGGAAAGCAGGGGAUCGCAAGACCUUGCGCUGAUUGAGCGGCCGAUAUCAGAUUAGCUAGUUGGUGAGGUAAAGGCUCACGAAGGCGACGAUCUGUAGCGGGUCUGAGAGGAUGAUCCGCCACACUGGAACUGAGACACGGUCCAGACUCCUACGGUGGGCAGCAGUGGGGAAUUUUGGACAAUGGGGGCAACCCUGAUCCAGCCAUGCCGCGUGAGUGAAGAAGGCCUUCGGGUUGUAAAGCUCUUUCGGCCGGGAAGAAAUCGUAUCAGCUAAUACCUGGUGCGGAUGACGGUACCGGCAUAAGAAGCACCGGCUAACUACGUGCCAGCAGCCGCCGUAAGAC
rnacentral:rRNA from 1 species